rnacentral:rRNA from 1 species
AACCGGGAAAGGCAGCAGUGGGGGAAUUUUGGGACAAUGGGCGCAAGCCCUGAAUCCAGCCUAUGCCUGCUGUGCAGGGAUGAAGGCCUUCGGGUUGUAAACUGCUUUUGUACGGAACGAAAAAGCUCUCUCUAAUACAGGGGGUGAAUGACGGUACCGUAAGAAUAAGCACCGGCUAACUACGUGCCAGCAGCCGCGGUAAUACGUAGGGUGCAAGCGUUAAUCGGAAUUACUGGGCGUAAAGCGUGCGCAGGCGGUUAUGUAAGACAGAGGUGAAAUCCCCGGGCUCAACCUGGGAACUGCCUUUGUGACUGCAUAGCUGGAGUGCGGCAGAGGGGGAUGGAAUUCCGCGUGUAGCAGUGAAAUGCGUAGAUAUGCGGAGGAACACCGAUGGCGAAGGCAAUCCCUGGGCCUGCACUGACGCUCAUGCACGAAAGCGUGGGGAGCAAACAGGAUUAGAUACCUGGUAGUCCACGCCCUAAACGAUGUCAACCUGGUUGUUUGGGUCUUCACUGACUCAGUAACGAAGCUAACGCGUGAAGUGCCGCCUGG